UGGGGGAUAUUGCACAAUGGGCGAAAGCCUGAUGCAGCGACGCCGCGUGGGGGAUGAAGGCUUUCGGGUUGUAAACCUCUUUCGCUAUCGAACAAGGCCCGCUUAGGGUGGGUUGAGGGUAGGUGGAGAAGAAGCGCCGGCUAACUACGUGCCAGCAGCCGCGGUAAUACGUAGGGCGCGAGCGUUGUCCGGAAUUAUUGGGCGUAAAGGGCUUGUAGGCGGCUUGUUGCGCCUGCUGUGAAAACGCGGGGCUUAACUUCGCGCGUGCAGUGGGUACGGGCAGGCUUGAGUGUGGUAGGGGUAACUGGAAUUCCAGGUGUAGCGGUGGAAUGCGCAGAUAUCUGGAGGAACACCGAUGGCGAAGGCAGGCCACUGGGCCAUUACUGACGCUGAGGAGCGAAAGCAUGGGUAGCGAACAGG
rnacentral:rRNA from 1 species